rnacentral:rRNA from 1 species
CCUACGGGAGGCAGCAGUGAGGAAUAUUGGUCAAUGGGCGCGAGCCUGAACCAGCCAAGUCGCGUGAGGGAAGACGGUCCUAUGGAUUGUAAACUUCUUUUGUCGGGGAGCAAAAGACGCCACGCGUGGCGUUCCGAGAGUACCCACAGAAAAAGCAUCGGCUAACUCCGUGCCAGCAGCCGCGGUAAUACGGAGGAUGCGAGCGUUAUCCGGAUUUUUUGGGUUUAAAGGGUGCGCAGGCGGAAGAUAAAGUCAACGGGAAAAUUGAGAGGCUCAACCUCUUCGAGCCGUUGAAACUGGUGUUCUUGAGUGAGGGAGAAGUAUGCGGAAUGCGUGGUGUAGCGGUGAAAUGCGUAGAUAUCGCGAAGAACACCGAUGGCGAAGGCAGCAUGCCGGCGAUCAACUGACGCUGAUGCGCGAAAGUGUGGGUAUCGAACAGGAUUAGAUACCCCUGUAGUC